rnacentral:rRNA from 1 species
UAGGGAAUCUUCGGCAAUGGGGGCAACCCUGACCGAGCAACGCCGCGUGAGUGAAGAAGGUUUUCGGAUCGUAAAGCUCUGUUGUAAGAGAAGAACGUGUGUGAGAGUGGAAAGUUCACACAGUGACGGUAACUUACCAGAAAGGGACGGCUCACUACGUGCCAGCAGCCGCGGUAAUACGUAGGUCCCGAGCGUUGUCCGGAUUUAUUGGGCGUAAAGCGAGCGCAGGCGGUUUAAUAAGUCUGAAGUUAAAGGCAGUGGCUUAACCAUUGUUCGCUUUGGAAACUGUUAAACUUGAGUGCAGAAGGGGAGAGUGGAAUUCCAUGUGUAGCGGUGAAAUGCGUAGAUAUAUGGAGGAACACCGGUGGCGAAAGCGGCUCUCUGGUCUGUAACUGACGCUGAGGCUCGAAAGCGUGGGGAGCAAACAGG